rnacentral:rRNA from 1 species
CUUACCAUGCAAGUCGAACGAUGAAGCCUUUCGGGGUGGAUUAGUGGCGAACGGGUGAGUAACACGUGGGCAAUCUGCCCUUCACUCUGGGACAAGCCCUGGAAACGGGGUCUAAUACCGGAUAACACUCCUGCCUGCAUGGGCGGGGGUUAAAAGCUCCGGCGGUGAAGGAUGAGCCCGCGGCCUAUCAGCUUGUUGGUGGGGUAAUGGCCCACCAAGGCGACGACGGGUAGCCGGCCUGAGAGGGCGACCGGCCACACUGGGACUGAGACACGGCCCAGACUCCUACGGGAGGCAGCAGUGGGGAAUAUUGCACAAUGGGCGAAAGCCUGAUGCAGCGACGCCGCGUGAGGGAUGACGGCCUUCGGGUUGUAAACCUCUUUCAGCAGGGAAGAAGCGAAAGUGACGGUACCUGCAGAAGAAGCGCCGGCUAACUACGUGCCAGCAGCCGCGGUAAUACGUAGGGCGCAAGCGUUGUCCGGAAUUAUUGGGCGUAAAGAGCUCGUAGGCGGCUUGUCGCGUCGGAUGUGAAAGCCCGGGGCUUAACCCCGGGUCUGCAUUCGAUACGGGCAGGCUAGAGUGUGGUAGGGGAGAUCGGAAUUCCUGGUGUAGCGGUGAAAUGCGCAGAUAUCAGGAGGAACACCGGUGGCGAAGGCGGAUCUCUGGGCCAUUACUGACGCUGAGGAGCGAAAGCGUGGGGAGCGAACAGGAUUAGAUACCCUGGUAGUCCACGCCGUAAACGUUGGGAACUAGGUGUUGGCGACAUUCCACGUCGUCGGUGCCGCAGCUAACGCAUUAAGUUCCCCGCCUGGGGAGUACGGCCGCAAGGCU